AUUGAACGCUGGCGGCAGGCCUAACAUAUGCAAGUCGAACGGUAAAAGGAAGCAGUUUGCUGCUUUGCUGACGCGAGGCGGCCGGGGGAGUAAUGUCAGGGAAACUGCCCGAUGGAGGGGGAUAACUACUGGAAAGGGUAGCAAAUACUGCCUAACGUAGCAAGAUCAAAGAGGGGGCCCAUAGUGUCUCUUUCGAUCGGAUGUGCCGGGAUGGGAUUAGGCUGUAGGUGGGGUAACGGCUCACCUAGGUGACGAUCCCUAGCUGUUCUGAGAGGAUGACCAACCACACUGGAACUAGGACACGGUCCAGACUCCUAAGGGAGGCAGCAGUGGGGAAUAUUGCACAAUGGGCGCAAGUCUUACGCAGCCAUGCCGCGCGUAUGAAGAAGGCCUUCGGGUUGUAAAGUACUUGCAGCGGGGAUGAAGCGAGUUGAGUUAAUGCCUUCGCUCAUUGACGUUACCCGCAGAAGAAGCACCGGCUAACUCCGUG
rnacentral:rRNA from 1 species